GAUGUUCUUCUGGAGGUCACAACUGCUCGCACAUAAUUCUGCUUUUGGCCGAAGCACUCGUCUCCUGAUUAAAUUAUUUGUUGGUGGUAUCCGAUUGUGCAACAGAUGCCAAGCAAAAAGGUUGGCUUUGAGAGGAACCUCUUUAUGCCAAAAGAUAUGUAAAUGAUCACCAUUUUUAGGUUGAUCCAUCGAAAGAAGGUAAUUAUAAACACUUGAAACAUUGUAUUUUUUUAUACAUGAAGUGGCAAAAUGCACAUGUCUCUCACUUCAGCCUGCAAAACAAUUGGAAGUAAUAAUUUGCAACACUCCCGGACUUGCUCUUCUUCCCAAGCCAACAACUUCUGCCUCCAUUUCCGAGUCUCACCACCCUCCCCCAACCUAAAGAGAACAUGUCAUACACUAGACGCCAUUUUGUAGUCAGCUAGAUCAAAAAGACGACUAUAUCUAAACUUCAAAACCCCUACUUUUAACCAAAGAUCCCACCAAAAUAAAGUAUCUUUACCAUCUGCCACCUCUCAGCAUAAAUUAUCUUCAAACAAACUUCCGACCCCCACUCACCCCAUCUCUGAUGUUAAUCAAAUUCUUCCACCAAACGACUAUAUAGGUAUCUCUUUCAAUCUUGUUGUGUUUCAAUUGAUGAGAGAUUUUUUUUGUUGCCCAUGUUUUCUCUAGAAUAUUAAAAGUAUCAGGUUUAUUCCACUUACUCUUGACAUUUUAAAAAUAAUUAUUUUAAAAUUUGAACAUUUUUAUUUGUGAUACGGGCUUAUAAAUAUUAUUAUGUCAAUAAAACAUGGGCUAAAAAUUAUUUACAAAUGUUUAUAUUUGAAAUUGAGUGAUUAUGACCGUUUUAUAAUGAGUGAAAACUAUAAACACACCGUACUUGGCACGGAUCACUCACUAAUGUAUAUUACAAAAAAUGGCAUAAGAAUUUUGCCAUAUAAUAAAGAAUGAUAUUGAAAACACUAAUAUAGAUCUCAUAUCAUAUUUGAGAGGUCAUGUAUAUGUUACCUGUCCUUAGCAUUUGAAAGAGCAUGAUGCUUCAAAACUAGUGGUUACUGGUUAUCUUCCCAUCCAUGUGGAAAACCUAUUCAAUACGUAUACUGAGCAAAUUAGGUAUAAGAAAUAUUUCCAAAAACAAUCGUAAAUGAGAUUUUUUUUUUGUUUCAUUUCCUUUUCAUAUGUCACUUCAAUUGCAAAUCAUCGAUCAUCUGACGUUGAACACCUCAAUCUUGUUAGAGAUUGACAAAGAUACGUGGAAU
rnacentral:lncRNA from 1 species